AUUGAAACACUGAUUACUGUACGAUCACCAAAGUUAAGCAACGUUGAGCCUGGUCCGUACCUAGAUGGGUCACUGCUUGGGAAUAUCAGGUGCUGUAAG